AAAGAAAAAAAAAAAUCAUCAAUCGUGAAUUCACGUGGGGAAAAUCUUCUCCGGGGUAUUGCGAAAAUAGUGAAGAAGAGUCUAUUGCAAAAUCAGAGCUAGAAGGCAUUAAUGAUGUAACCUGUCUCGGGAAGAGGAAGGAAAAUGUUGGAAGGGAGAGUCUGAGAGUUUAGAAAAUCCAUUGGAAUGAGAACGGCACCAGAUGCGAAGAGAAAGAAACGGGAUAAACCCUGAGGCUUUGAGUUUUAAUCGACAUCUCGAUGAAUCAAGAACCCCAUAAAAAUCCAUCACCCAACGAGAAAGCGAUCACCAUCUUCAUUCUGGCGAACAAGUCCAACCACUCGUGACGGAUGACAAAUAGAAUAAAAAAAAGUUUUUUUUCAACUGGGAGAGGACAAGAAGGCGGAUUUUAGUAUGCCCCGGGAGUUGACGAUUUAUGCAAAGUGCACUGCGUUCCAGGGGAAGUGUUGACCUUCGUAUCGACGAGGGACAUCCGAACAAAGAAUAAACAUCGUGUACAGGGAUUUUUUAUUUACCGUAGAGUGUCAGCAGGAGCCAUCGCCUCUCGAGCAUGUUUGGAACUUCUGCAAUUUAAAAAAUUGUGAUUAAUAUCGAUUAAUAUCGAUUCUAGAACUCUUAUAUGCAAUACCACAAGUUCUAACGAAAUAUCUGUACAAAUUGUAAUAAACAAAUUGCACAUUAAAUUAUUAUAACAUUGUAAA